UCCGGUUUGGACCGGCGGUCUCCUUAGAGAUGGCAACUAAGGACAAGGGUUGCGCUCGUUAAUGGACUUAACCAAACAUCUCACGACACGAGCUGACGACGGCCAUGCAUCAUCUGUCACUUGGUUCAAUAAAGCACUCACUCCUUUCAGAGUAAUUCCAAGGAUGUCAAACCCUGGUAAGGUUCUUCGGUUAUCAUCGAAUUAAAGAACAUAAUCCACCGCUUGUGCUGAUCCCCGUCAAUUCCUUUAUGUUUUAGUCUUGCGACCGUACUCCACAGGCGGGAUACUUAACGCGUUAGCUUCGCUACUGAAGGGGUCGAUACCUCCAACAGCUAGUAUCCAUCGUUUACGGCGUGGACUAC
rnacentral:misc_RNA from 1 species